rnacentral:rRNA from 1 species
GACGAACGCUGGCGGCGUGCCUAAUACAUGCAAGUAGAACGCUGAAGCUUGGUGCUUGCACCGAGCGGAUGAGUUGCGAACGGGUGAGUAACGCGUAGGUAACCUGCCUGGUAGCGGGGGAUAACUAUUGGAAACGAUAGCUAAUACCGCAUAAGAGUAGAUGUUGCAUGACAUUUGCUUAAAAGGUGCAAUUGCAUCACUACCAGAUGGACCUGCGUUGUAUUAGCUAGUUGGUGAGGUAACGGCUCACCAAGGCAACGAUACAUAGCCGACCUGAGAGGGUGAUCGGCCACACUGGGACUGAGACACGGCCCAGACUCCUACGGGAGGCAGCAGUAGGGAAUCUUCGGCAAUGGACGGAAGUCUGACCGAGCAACGCCGCGUGAGUGAAGAAGGUUUUCGGAUCGUAAAGCUCUGUUGUAAGAGAAGAAAGAGUGUGAGAGUGGAAAGUUCACACUGUGACGGUAUCUUACCAGAAAGGGACGGCUAACUACGUG